rnacentral:lncRNA from 1 species
UUCUUUCGUUUUUUUCUUGGGUUUGGAGAAAACUGAAAAGAGUCUCUGCUUUCUAUGAUGUUCAGUUGUUCACAGAUUAAUAUGCCAUGUAUCUUCUUUCUAGAUCAUUAAUUUAAUUGAGGUUUUUAAUUGCAGAAUGAUGCUACUAUUAGAAUACUCAGCGGAACUGCGAGAGGAUCCUAUGGGAAGUAUUGUCUUUGCUACAUCUCAAUCUCCUGCGUCUCAUAAUUUAUGAGAACUUGUGUAAGAAUUUUGUCUGUGAAUCGUAUGAAACUGUAAGCAUUUCUAUAAAUAUUGAAUGAGUCUUGAAAAAAUA